rnacentral:rRNA from 1 species
UGGGGAAUUUUGGACAAUGGGCGAAAGCCUGAUCCAGCAAUGCCGCGUGUGUGAAGAAGGCCUUCGGGCUGUAAAGCACUUUUGUCCGGAAAGAAAUCCUUGGCUCUAAUACAGUCGGGGGAUGACGGUACCGGAAGAAUAAGCACCGGCUAACUACGUGCCAGCAGCCGCGGUAAUACGUAGGGUGCAAGCGUUAAUCGGAAUUACUGGGCGUAAAGCGUGCGCAGGCGGUUUGCUAAGACCGAUGUGAAAUCCCCGGGCUCAACCUGGGAACUGCAUUGGUGACUGGCAGGCUAGAGUAUGGCAGAGGGGGGUAGAAUUCCACGUGUAGCAGUGAAAAUGCGUAGAGAUGUGGAGGAAUACCGAUGGCGAAGGCAGCCCCCUGGGCAAUACUGACGCUCAUGCACGAAAGCGUGGGGAGCAAACAGGAUU